GGCGGUUUGCGACAUGGGAUGCAAUGAAGCCAGCUGCUCCAGUGAUGAGAAUGUUCUUGGGGGUGUGGCUUGCCAUAAUAUCUUCUUGGAACUCCCGCGACCUUCGUUGUCCUUGUAUUCGUAGAAAUUCGGGGAGGGGGGGGUCUGAUCUUUGCCGACAAUAAUCAGAUCUGAUCUUUGCCGACGUUGUUGCUUCAUAAAUCAAGGUUGCAUUUUCUAAGGCCAAGCAGAUUAUAGAUCCUUUAUCAACAAGAGCAAUGCUCUGCGGACACAGACAAAUGACUG